CCAGAAAGAGACCCUAAACCGGUCCUCUCCACCCUGGCCCAUCGUAAACCCUUUUGGUGUUGGUUCCCAUUCCCUCGGGCGAGGCUUCUGCGGGGCCCCGCCGGCGGGAAGAUCAACGAAACUCUUAUUGCGAACAAGCAUCCUGAAAUCUCUGAAUCGAAUACAAAUAGUCACA
rnacentral:misc_RNA from 1 species